ACAGGUUGCCUCCAUGCAUUUCACAUGAUGUAUAUCUCACAGGCUGCAAAGUUAACAGAUCUUAAAACAUACAACAGAAUCGAGUGGCGCACAAAAGCUUCCAGGCGCUUUGGAGUUUUGUCCACCGAUGAUAUCAGUAAGGAGGUGUCUUUAGAUCCGAGAGGCAUUCUGCAGCAAAUAUAGCCUGAAUAUACAGCUAUAAGAGGAAUACGUCCAACAUGUGGUAUGCGGCCCACAGACGUGGGCGUGUCCACAGCGCCACCAACACCACUGGUCUGGAGCAGCGUUACAGUGCCCAGCACCAUUGGAAGAGAGCAUACAAGUACAGAAGAUGACACCCAGAAACCCUGAGUGUAAAGAAGAAGAAGAAUUCCAGCUGCUGGAACAACCUACCUGCCAGGACUUCCUGAGAUAAACUAUUAUUAAAGGUCUUUUUUCCUGUU